GAUGAAGAACGUAGCGAAGUGCGAUAAGUAGUGUGAAUUGCAGAAUUCAGUGAAUCAUCGAAUCUUUGAACGCACAUUGCGCCCUUUGGUAUUCCUUAGGGCAUGCCUGUUCGAGCGUCAUCUAAACCUUCAAGCCCUGCUUGGUGUUGGGUGCCUGUCCCGCCUCUGCGCGUGGACUCACCUCAAAUCCAUUGGCGGCCCCCGCGUCGGCCACGAGCGCAGCAGAAACGCGAACUCGUGAGCCCGUCCGGGCGGCUCCCAGAAGCUAACCCCCAAUUUUUGACCUCGGAUCAGGUAGGGAUACCCGCUGAACUUAAGCAUAUCAAUAAGCGGAGGA
rnacentral:misc_RNA from 1 species